ACAGGGACACUGUCUUCUGUAACCACAGGGUCAUUCUCACAACUAUUGAAAUAAGCAAGAAUUCUCACUCCCAAAAGUGGAAACGGACCCAGAGAGGUUACACCCCCUGCUGCAUGUCCCAGCUGGGGAUUCAGAGCAGGAUUUGAACACAGAACCACUUGGCUUCACAUCUUUCCCCCCCUAGCCUCACAGUUAUAUGACUACCAUUUUCUGCUUUUAUCAAGGGAAGAAUGCUUUGUAGAUACCUAGACACAUAGGCUUCUGCUUCUGUCUCCGGAUAACCUGACUGGUAACGGCAGUGCCUCGGAAGAUGAUCAGAGGACCACGGCCAGCCUCUCAGUCGGAACGCUAAUGGUGUGAGAACGGAGGCAACUGCUGACUGCCAGCGGAGCGGCCUGGUUGCAUCUAGACCCAACCGGUCUCUGACCUGCUGUGACCUGGGCCAGCCCCUCCCCGUCCUUCUGGGAGAGGCCAGACAGUAGAUUCCAGGCAGCAAGGGAGAGCCCCCAGCACCUCGUGUACAGGCUGCUCAGUGGAGGGCUGAAUGAUUGAAGCCGUGCUGUCUGUCUGGAUAGAGUACGUGUCCAGUGAGGUCAGGCUGACUGCAAGGGGAGAUCAGGACUGUAUACCCUGCAGCACACAUUUGAGGGUCCCUGUGCCUUCUGCCUGAGACACCCUGGCCUGGCUUUCACAGCACCUGAUUUACCUCUUCAGGCUCACCUGGGCUUGUUCUGACCCCACCGCCGGAGGACCCCUCUGCCUGCCUGGAGAACCUCUGCCCAGGGAUGUGGAUGGGGUUGGUUGCCUGUGACAGGCAGCUCUUUAUCUGGCAAGUCAUCUUCCCUGAACCUAAGAUAGGGGAUCCCUCCGCCCCUCUGUUCUGCAUGCUGUAGGAACACGGGCUCCAGAGCCAGAGUGCCUGCGUUUGAAUCCUGACUUUGCCAAUUCCUAGCUGUGUGAUUUGGGCAAGUUAUGUCUCCUCUCUGAGCCUCUAUUUGCUCUUCUGUAAAAUGGGAUCAUAAUAGCCUUGCCUCAUAGAGUUCUUAACAGGGUCGAAUUUGUACUUGAAAAGCUUUUCGUGCGCAGUGCAUAGCAUUCCCUCAAGUUCAGUUCAGUUUAUUAUUACUAUUGGAAUUAUUCAUUGUGAC
rnacentral:lncRNA from 1 species